GACGUAGGGCGCGAGCGUUGUCCGGAUUUAUUGGGCGUAAAGAGCUCGUAGGCGGCUUGUCGCGUCGACUGUGAAAACUUGGGGCUCGACCCCCAAGCUUGCAGUCGAUACGGGCAGGCUAGAGUUCGGUAGGGGAGACUGGAAUUCCUGGUGUAGCGGUGAAAUGCGCAGAUAUCAGGAGGAACACCGAUGGCGAAGGCAGGUCUCUGGGCCGAUACUGACGCUGAGGAGCGAAAGCGUGGGGAGCGAACAGG
rnacentral:rRNA from 1 species